GCUCGACCAAAGACUUGGUUCGCUCAAUUCCUUGGGAGGCAUUACGUUUUUUAGCAGCCAUUCUCGCCUUGCAGUCGUCCAUCCUUGCUUGAAGCUCCUUCAUCUGUGCAGCCAAACUGGUCAUCAAAGAGUCUUCAAUCAUAACUUCGGAAGAGAUUUCUUUCAAUUCGUCCUCAGCUUUGUUGAUCUCCAGAAGCAAAGACUCUCUUUCAGAUACAGCGCGAAGAUAUUGAGUACUUUUGGCCUUCAGUUCAACAUUUUUGGCCAGCAAGGAGAGAAUCUCGGAAUGGACAACUUUCAACGUCGCUUUAAAAUCAGCAGAAAGAUUGAGCGACGGAAGUGUCAGUGCUUGCGCC
rnacentral:lncRNA from 1 species